UAAUACAGAGGGUGCUAGCGUUAAUCGGAAUUACUGGGCGUAAAGGGCGCGUAGGCGGUGAGAUAUGUGUGAUGUGAAAGCCCUGGGCUUAACCUAGGAAGUGCAUCGCAAACUGUCUUGCUGGAGUAUAUGAGAGGGUGGCGGAAUUUCCGGUGUAGCGGUGAAAUGCGUAGAGAUCGGAAGGAACGUCGAUGGCGAAGGCAGCCACCUGGCAUAAUACUGACGCUGAGGCGCGAAAGCGUGGGGAGCGAACAGGAUUAGAUACCCUGGUAGUCCACGCUGUAAACGAUGAGUACUAAAUGUUGGUAGGGGAACCUAUCGGUAUUGAAGUUAACACGAUAAGUACUCCGCCUGGGAAGUACGGCCGCAAGGUUG
rnacentral:rRNA from 1 species